rnacentral:rRNA from 1 species
GAUGAACGCUGGCGGCGUGCCUAAUACAUGCAAGUCGAGCGAAGCGGGGACGGGUGAGUAACACGUGGAUAACCUCCUAUAAGACUGGGAUAACUUCGGGAAACCGGAGCUAAACCGGUUACUUAUAGAUGGAGCCGCGGUGCAUUGGCUAGUUGGUAAGGUAACGGCUAACCAAGGCAACGAUGCAUAGCCGACCUGAGAGGGUGAUCGGCCACACUGGAACUGAGACACGGGCCAGACUCCUACGGGAGGCAGCAGUAGGGAAUCUUCCGCAAUGGGCGAAAGCCUGACGGAGCAACGCCGCGUGAGUGAAGAAGGUCUUCGGAUCGUAAAACUCUGUUAUUAGGGAAGCGGUACCUAAUCAGAAAGCAACGGCUAACUACGUGCCAGCAGCCGCGGUAAUAC